GGGGCUGUAGCUCAGAGGCAGAGCGCUUGCCUAGCAUGCCAGAGGCACUGGGUUCGAUCCUCAGCACCA
rnacentral:tRNA from 1 species